AAGUCGAGGGGUAACAUAGGAAAGCUUGCUUUUCUGAUGACGACCGGCGCACGGGUGCGUAACGCGUAUACAACCUACCUUUUAGCGGGGAAUAGCCCAGGGAAACUUGGAUUAAUGCCCCAUAGUAUAUAGACUUCUCCUGAAGUUUAUAUUAAACAUUUAUGGCUAUUAGAUGGGUAUGCGUCCUAUUAGUUAGUUGGUAAGGUAACGGCUUACCAAGGCAGCGAUAGGUAGGGGUCCUGAGAGGGAGAUCCCCCACACUGGUACUGAGACACGGACCAGACUCCUACGGGAGGCAGCAGUGAGGAAUAUUGGACAAUGGGCGAGAGCCUGAUCCAGCCAUGCCGCGUGCAGGAAGACUGCCCUAUGGGUUGUAAACUGCUUUUACAGAGGAAGAACCACCCCCACGUGUGGGGGUUUGACGGUACUCUGCGAAUAAGGAUCGGCUAACUCCGUGCCAGCAGCCGCGGUAAUACGGAGGAUCCAAGCGUUAUCCGGAAUCAUUGGGUUUAAAGGGUCCGUAGGCGGGCAGUUAAGUCAGUGGUGAAAGUCUUCCGCUCAACGGGAGAACUGCCAUUGAUACUGAUUGUCUUGAGUUAUUAUGAAGUGGUUAGAAUGAGUAGUGUAGCGGUGAAAUGCAUAGAUAUUACUCAGAAUACCGAUUGCGAAGGCAGAUCACUAAUAAUAUACUGACGCUGAUGGACGAAAGCGUAGGUAGCGAACAGGAUUAGAUACCCUGGUAGUCUACGCCGUAAACGAUGGUUACUAGCUGUUCGGCCCAAUUGAGGGCUGAGUGGUUAAGCGAAAGUGAUAAGUAACCCACCUGGGGAGUACGUUCGCAAGAAUGAAACUCAAAGGAAUUGACGGGGGCCCGCACAAGCGGUGGAGCAUGUGGUUUAAUUCGAUGAUACGCGAGGAACCUUACCAGGGCUUAAAUGUAGUCUGACAGGUCUGGAAACAGACUUUUCUUCGGACAGAUUACAAGGUGCUGCAUGGUUGUCGUCAGCUCGUGCCGUGAGGUGUCAGGUUAAGUCCUAUAACGAGCGCAACCCCUGUGGUUAGUUGCCAGCGAGUAAUGUCGGGAACUCUAGCCAGACUGCCGGUGCAAACCGCGAGGAAGGUGGGGAUGACGUCAAAUCAUCACGGCCCUUACGUCCUGGGCCACACACGUGCUACAAUGGUAGGGACAGAGAGCAGCCACUUCGCGAGAAGGAGCGAAUCUACAAACCCUAUCACAGUUCGGAUCGCAGUCUGCAACUCGACUGCGUGAAGCUGGAAUCGCUAGUAAUCGCAUAUCAGCCAUGAUGCGGUGAAUACGUUCCCGGGCCUUGUACACACCGCCCGUCAAGCCAUGGAAGCCGGGGGUACCUGAAGUCGGUCACCGCAAGGAGCCGCCUAGGGUAAAACUGGUAACUGGGGCUAA
rnacentral:rRNA from 1 species